CGGACAGAGCUGGCGUAUCUGGCCUGUAUUCAGCCGUGCGUCCGUUGGCGUCAGGGAUGCCGCUCUCCAGAUUGGGACGGUGGCCUGUCUGCUGGCGGAUGUGUGGUGCAUUUGCAGGUGGAGUGCGCUGAGGCGCUCGGGUCAGCGGCAUGAGCUCAGUGUUGAGGCCAGCCCCUCACGGGGUCUGGUACCCGCAUUGUGGGGAGUGCUGUUUGUCCUGGGUGUGUGGAGGGCAAUGGUUUCGGGUUCGUGUGGGUGCCGAGCUGGCAGUCGGUGGCGGUCGCGUGCGACACGUGCCAGCGGUCAGUUCGGUCCUGCUCGAGCUCUCAUCUGCUCGUCCUCGGUGUAAAAGCCGGUCAUCUGUCCGACCCGUCUUGAAACACGGACCAAGGAGUUUAGCGUGUGCGCGAGUCAUUGGGCGUUGAAAACCCAAAGGCGCAAUGAAAGUGAAGGUCUCCCUUGCGGAGCUGAUGUGUGAUCCUGGGCACUGCGGUGCACACCGGGCGCAACAUAGUCCCGUCCCGAUCGCUUGCGAUGGGGCGGAGACAGAGCGUACGCGCUGAG
rnacentral:rRNA from 1 species